rnacentral:rRNA from 1 species
GAUGAACGCUGGCGGCGUGCCUAAUACAUGCAAGUCGAGCGAACAGAUGAGGAGCUUGCUCCUCUGACGUUAGCGGCGGACGGGUGAGUAACACGUGGAUAACCUACCUAUAAGACUGGGAUAACUUCGGGAAACCGGAGCUAAUACCGGAUAAUAUAUUGAACCGCAUUGUUCAAUAGUGAAAGACGGUUUUGCUGUCACUUAUAGAUGGAUCUGCGCCGCAUUAGCUGGUUGGUAAGGUAACGGCUUACCAAGGCAACGAUGCGUAGCCGACCUGAGAGGGAGAUCGGCCAGCCGGGAACUGAGACUCGGCCCAGACACCUACGGGAGGAAGCAGUAGGGAAUCUUCCGCAAUGGGCGAAAGCGUGACGGAGCAACGCGGCGUGAGUGAUGAAGGUCUUCGGAUCGUAAAACGCUGUUAUUAGGGGAGAACAAAUGUGUAAGUAACUAGGCACGUCUUGACGGUACCUAAUCAGAAAGCCACGGCUAACUACGUG